rnacentral:rRNA from 1 species
AACGUAGGAGGCGAGCGUUAUCCGGAUUCACUGGGCGUAAAGCGCGUGUAGGCGGUUCGGCAAGUCGGUUGUGAAAGCCCCUGGCUCAACUGGGGGAGGUCAGCCGAAACUGCGGGACUGGAGGGUCAGAGAGGAAGGUGGAAUUCCCGGUGUAGCGGUGGAAUGCGUAGAGAUCGGGAGGAACACCAGUGGCGAAGGCGGCCUUCUGGCUGACCACUGACGCUGAGACGCGAAAGCGUGGGUAGCAAACGGG